UGGGGAAUAUUGGACAAUGGACCGAGAGUCUGAUCCAGCAAUUCUGUGUGCACGAUGACGUUUUUCGGAAUGUAAAGUGCUUUCAGUUGGGAAGAAAGAAAUGACGGUACCAACAGAAGAAGUGACGGCUAAUACGUGCCAGCAGCCGCGGUAAUACGUAUGUCACGAGCGUUAUCCGGAUUUAUUGGGCGUAAAGCGCGUCUAGGUGGUUAUGUAAGUCUGAUGUGAAAAUGCAGGGCUCAACUCUGUAUUGCGUUGGAAACUGUAUAACUAGAGUACUGGAGAGGUAAGCGGAACUACAAGUGUAGAGGUGAAAUUCGUAGAUAUUUGUAGGAAUGCCGAUGGGGAAGCCAGCUUACUGGACAGAUACUGACGCUAAAGCGCGAAAGCGUGGGUAGCAAACAGG
rnacentral:rRNA from 1 species